rnacentral:rRNA from 1 species
AGGGCUUAUAGAGGAUACCUAGGCAUUUAGAAGCGAAGAAGGGCGUGGCUACCUGCGAAAUGCUUCGGUGAGCUGGAAGCAAGCUGUGAUCCGGAGAUACCCGAAUAAGGAAACUUCAAUAGAACUUCUCGAGGAAUAAAUACUCGAGGUUAGAGCGAACCCGGAGAAUUGAAACAUCUUAGUAACCGGAGGAAAAGAAAGUAAAAACGAUUCCCUGAGUAGCGGCGAGCGAAACGGGAACAGCCUAAACUAAUUUACAAAUUAGGGUAGUGGGAGAACCAAAAUACACUUAUGAUUAAAAUUAGAUGAAUCUUUUGGAAUGAAGAACCAUAGGAAGUGAUAGUCUUGUAAUCGAAAAUAUUAAUCUAGUGCGGUUUUAUCCCGAGUAGCAUGGGGCACGUGAAAUCCCGUGUGAAUCUGCGAGGACCACCUCGUAAGGCUAAAUAUUCCUAAAUGACCGAUAGCGCAUAGUACCGUGAGGGAAAGGUGAAAAGAACCCCGCAAGGGGAGUGAAAUAGAACAUGAAACUAUAAGCUUACAAGCAGUAGGAGGACGACUUAACGUCUGACUGCGUGCCUGUUGAAGAAUGAGCCGGCGACUUAUAAGCAAUGGCAGGUUAAAUGUAGGAGCCAUAGCGAAAGCGAGUCUGAAUAGGGCGUUUGUCAUUGUUUAUAGACCCGAACCCGGAUGAUCUAACCAUGGUCAGGAUGAAGCUUAGGUAAAAUCAAGUGGAGGUCCGAACCGACUGAUGUUGAAAAAUCAGCGGAUGAAUUGUGGUUAGGGGUGAAAUGCCAAUCGAAUCCGGAGCUAGCUGGUUCUCCCCGAAAUGUGUUUUGGCGCAGCGAUUAAUGUUUAAAUUUAGGGGUAAAGCACUGUUUUUAUGCGGGCUGGUAAUACGGUACCAAAUGAAGGCAAACUAAGAAUACUAAAUUGUAUAGUUAAUCAGUAAGACUGUGGGGGAUAAGCUCCAUUGUCAAGAGGGAAACAGCCCAGACCAUCAGUUAAGGCCCCUAAAAAUUGCUAAGUGCGAAAGGUGGUGGGAGUGCAUAGACAACCAGGAGGUUUGCUUAGAAGCAGCAAUCCUUUAAAGAAUGCGUAAUAGCUCACUGGUCGAGUAAACCUGCGCCGAAAAUGUACGGGACUAAGUAAUUUGCCGAAGCUAUGGGGUAAUAAUAAAUUAUCGGUAGGGGAGCGUUCUGUUGUAGGUUGAAGCGUUAGUGAAAACGGGCGUGGACGAAGCAGAAGUGAGAAUGUCGGCUUGAGUAGCGAAAACAUUGGUGAGAAUCCAAUGCCCCGAAAACCUAAGGAUUCCUCCGGAAGGCUCGUCCGCGGAGGGUUAGUCAGGACCUAAGGCAAGGCCGAUUUGGCGUAGUCGAUGGAUAACAGGUAGAUAUUCCUGUACCACUUUUUAUUGAUAAUGAGGGACGGAGCAGGCUAGUUCAGCCGGAUGUUGGUUACCGGUUUAAGCGUUUAGAUGUUGAGAAGUAGAGAAAAUACUUUGAGUUAAGACGUGAAUAGGAGAUACUUAAUCGUAUUGAAGUGAAUGAUGUCAUACUUCCAAGAAAAGCUCAAUCUAUCUUAAAUAUAAAGUGCCUGUACCAUAAACCGACACAGGUGGGUAAGUAGAGAAUACUAAGGGGCGCGAGAUAACUCUCUCUAAGGAACUCGGCAAAAUAACCCCGUAACUUUGGGAGAAGGGGUGCCUAUUUAGGCUGCAAUAACAAGGUCCAAGCGACUGUUUACCAAAAACACAGGUCUCCGCAAAGUCGCAAGACAAUGUAUGGGGGCUGACGCCUGCCCAGUGCCGGAAGGUUAAGGAAGUUGGUUAGCUUUAUGCGACGCUAGCGACUGAAGCCCCGGUGAACGGCGGCCGUAACUAUAACGGUCCUAAGGUAGCGAAAUUCCUUGUCGGGUAAGUUCCGACCUGCACGAAAGGCGUAACGAUUUGGACACUGUCUCGGAGAGAGGCUCGGUGAAAUAGACUUGUCUGUGAAGAUGCGGACUACCUGCACCUGGACAGAAAGACCCUAUGAAGCUUUACUGUAGCUUGGAAUUGACUUCAAACUUUAUUUGCGUAGGAUAGGUGGGAGGCUAUGAAGAUGAUCUUCUGGGAUUAUUGGAGCCAUCCUUGAAAUACCACCCUAAUAAUGUGAGAAUUCUAACUUUUCGCUGUGAAUCCAGCUGAAGGACAUUUUCAGGUGGUCAGUUUGACUGGGGCGGUCGCCUCCCAAAAGGUAA